rnacentral:lncRNA from 1 species
AGGUUCACCGCACGCUGGGAAACGGGUCAUCGCAACCAAGGGUUCCUCACGGGAGGCAGGAACCCAAGAUCAUCACCUCCACGGUUGACGCUCUGUGACCAUGUCACCAGGAGGACAGGAACGCUGCGAGGACCUCCCAUCCGUCCCAUUGCGAGUCCAACAUCGAUUCUGCGAUUAUCACGUCUCCCGCGACAGUGACUGCGUGAGCAAAUGGGCAUGAGGGAUGUGGUCAUCCGAUGGGAUCAUCUGAAACCAGCACGGGCACCGCCCACCUUCAUCAAUUACUGCCGCCUACACCGCGCUGCAGGCACAUCUCCCGGUUAAGGUAACGACGGCGUCCGCAUGCAACAACAGCAGAGUUUACCGUGAAAGUGGUAACGCAGUAGGGUAAACUUACAGAGAGCGCUCUGUUGCAGUUCUCUCGGUGCUGAGCCGAAGGGCACGAGGGGUGCUGGGCGCUGGCUCUGGCCCGCGUGACGACUGAAAUGUGACCGUUGGCGGUUGGAAAGGCACACGUGGUGGCCCAGAAAUACCUACGCGCUGGGCCCGCUCCAGCGAGACGGCGGAUCGAGAGCCAGUUCGGGGAGCAGAAAGCAUGACUGCGAAGACCACAUUUGGAGAAGAUUGCAUCCACAUUUUGCGAGUGCUAAUGUGCUAAUCUGCUGCUUACUCCAUCCAGAUGUAUAACGCUGGGCAUCCAUGCCUCAUUACCCAGGAUCCUGAGCUGGAGCAGAGUCACCCGCUGGGCAGCCGCGGCUUUUAAAGCCUCCCUCGCUUAAAUUAUCGCAGCUUUUCGUACGCAGAUUGUGUGACGCCGCUGUACCUUGGACCUCGCAAUACAGGGUCACGGGGAACCGGAGCCCAACCCAACCACUCAGGGCGUAAGGCCGGAAGGGGAGGGGACGCACCCAGGACGGGACUCCAGUCUGUCACAAGGCACCCCAAGUGGGACUCAAACCCCAGACCCGCCAGAGAGCAGGACCCCGUCCAACCCGCUGCAACACCGCACCCCCAUAUGUCUCAAAUGAAGAAAUGGUAAAGUAUAAAAAGCAUUACUAAACCACUGAAUCGAAAUACUGAAAUAACUGACACUCCCUGGUGUUUGACUUAAGCAUCAGAGCAGCAGUGCAAAAAGGGCCUUCGACAUCCCUGGCAGGAAGACCGUGGCACGAGGGCAGCGUCUCCCUCUGAUUUGUCCCGCAUGAAGAACAGCUUCAGAGAACGAUAGAGCGUUUGAAAGAAAUUGAUUUCGGAGGCCCCCAUAUCCCUCCCGCUCUAUAAAUCUUUUCCAUAGACAAAAAUGAAUCUAUUGCUCGCCGUUCCCCUCAACUUUUCGGCAUCGCCAGCUGCCGUGGUUCCAAAGCCACAUCCCGGCAUUCGGUGUAAACAGUGGUGAACGGGCGCGCCGGACUCAGGUGCAGGAUCACGCACCAACCCCCCCCCCCACCCCCGCCUCGUCCCACUUCCCGUGUGAGCAUCAAUCCCCUCCUGAUGCAAAUUCAAAAAGAGCAUUUUAAGAGCUGAUUAAAAUUCUUUCGCAUUUUAUUGCCUUUUCUUUCUCUCGGAGAAUUCCUUCAACAGAAAUAUGUGUGAUGUUGAAAGCCAGAAGUCAUUUUGAACGGACAUUUAUGAUGGAAAUUUUACAGAACGCAAUUCUGAGCUCCAUCCAAACCUUCCAUAUCAUAAUAUGCG